rnacentral:rRNA from 1 species
CAAUAGCGUAUAUUAAAGUUGUUGCAGUUAAAAAGCUCGUAGUUGGAUUUCGGGGUGGCCUGGCUGGUCCGCCGCAAGGUGAGUACUGGUCAGCCGCCCUUCCUCUCGAAAGCCCCGACUGCUCUUUACUGCAGUGGUCGGGUAGUUCGGGACGUUUACUUUGAAAAAAUUAGAGUGUUCAAGGCAGGCUAUCGCCUGAAUACAUUAGCAUGGAAUAAUGGAAGAGGACCUCGGUCCUAUUUUGUUGGUUUCUAGGGCCGAAGUAAUGAUUAAGAGGGACAGUUGGGGGCAUUCGUAUUUAAUUGUCAGAGGUGAAAUUCUUGGAUUUAUGAAAGACGAACUUCUGCGAAAGCAUUUGUCAAGGAUGUUUUCAUUAA